rnacentral:lncRNA from 1 species
GGGAAGAUUACCAUCAUUCUCCUGUCUUCCUUAGACCCAUGAUUCCACAGCUCCAGGUAUUUCUUCCUCACCAACCUCUCCUUUCUGGACAUGUGCUACACCACAAGCAUCGUGCCUCAGAUGCUAACUGACCUGAGGGCCUCCCACAAAGACCAUCAGCUUCAUGGGAUGUGUAGUUCAGCUUUAUUUGUUCCACACAAUUGGGGGUACAGGGGGUAUCCUCCUAGUUCUUAUGUCCUCUGUACGCUUGCUAUGUGGACAUCUGCGGAUUUCUGUGCUACACCUUUCGGGCUGAAAGGAAUUUCCCAUGCUGUAUCAGAACCCACUGUGACAUUGCAAUUGCCAGUGUGUGGCCACAAUAAACUGGAUCACUUGAUGUGUGAGAUUCUAGUUCUAAUAAAAACUAGAUAUGGUGAAAAAGAAAUGAAUGGGCUUGCUUUCUCUUUGGUAAGCAUUUUUCUUUUAGCUGUUGCUCUGUGUUUAAUUCUUGCCUCCUCUGGGUGUAUUUUAUAUAAACAUGCUAUAUUUUAAAUAAAAUCUUCAGAGGGAAGGGAAAAGGACUUUGGGACAAGCUCCUCUCAUCUCAGUGUAGUUCUCUUGUUCUAUGGUUCAUCCAUUAGUGUGUAUCUCAACACACACCACCAUUGCCCAAGUUCAUGUUUCUCUUCUAUAGAGUAAUGAUUCUUACUCUCAACUCCUUUAUCUAUACCUGAGGUAAGAAUGUAAAGGGGACAUUGGGAAACCUA